GCAGCGUCUCCGGAAGUGGAGGCGUGAGCGGCAGGGCAGCCCCUGCUUGGGGUAGCGGGAGGGUAGAUUCUGGGCGCCACUCCCGGGCCGGUCAUGAACGGGCCGGCGGACGGCGAAGUGGACUACAAAAAAAAAUACCGGAAUCUGAAGCGGAAGCUCAAGUUCCUCAUCUACGAGCACGAGUGCUUCCAGGAGGAGCUGAGGAAAGCUCAAAGGAAAUUACUGAAGGUGUCCCGGGACAAGAGGUGAGGCACGUUGCAGGGGCGGAGAGCGAUGUGGUUCCUAGGGAAUCUACAUUUGGACCCCAUCCCCGAGUAGGGCCACAAGUGCAUGGGCUCUUUCAAGGAUCCGAUGGGCCAGCUGGGAGGGACAGGGUCCCAGGAGGACAUUGCUGUGCUGGAAAUCACUGUCCGUCUCUCCUUCCCUCCCUUCAG
rnacentral:sRNA from 1 species